GACGAACGCUGGCGGCGUACUUAACACAUGCAAGUCGAACGGAAAGGCCCUGCUUUUGUGGGGUGCCCGAGUGGCGAACGGGUGAGUAACACGUGAGUAACCUGCCCUUGACUUUGGGAUAACUUCAGGAAACUGGGGCUAAUACCGGAUAGGAGCUCCUGCUGCAUGGUGGGGGUUGGACAGUUUCGGCGGUUGGGGAUGGACUCGCGGCUUAUCAGCUUGUUGGUGGGGUAGUGGCUUACCAAGGCUUUGACGGGUAGCCGGCCUGAGAGGGUGACCGGCCACAUUGGGACUGAGAUACGGCCCAGACUCCUACGGGAGGCAGCAGUGGGGAAUAUUGCACAAUGGGCGGAAGCCUGAUGCAGCAACGCCGCGUGCGGGAUGACGGCCUUCGGGUUGUAAACCGCUUUCGCCUGUGACGAAGCGUGAGUGACGGUAAUGGGUAAAGAAGCACCGGCUAACCACGUGCCAGCCGCCGCGGUAA
rnacentral:rRNA from 1 species